UACGUAGGUGGCGAGCGUUGUCCGGAUUUACUGGGCGUAAAGGGAGCGUAGGCGGACUUUUAAGUGAGAUGUGAAAUACUCGGGCUCAACUUGAGUGCUGCAUUUCAAACUGGAAGUCUAGAGUGCAGGAGAGGAGAAUGGAAUUCCUAGUGUAGCGGUGAAAUGCGUAGAGAUUAGGAAGAACACCAGUGGCGAAGGCGAUUCUCUGGACUGUGACUGACGCUGAGGCUCGAAAGCGUGGGUAGCAAACAGG
rnacentral:rRNA from 1 species